rnacentral:tRNA from 1 species
UGGGCCGAUGGGACAGAUGGAUGUCCGGCGGAUUCUUACCCCGCUUCAGGUUGGAUCGUUACCAACUCGGCUCGU